GUGGGGAAUCUUCCGCAAUGGACGAAAGUCUGACGGAGCAACGCCGCGUGAGUGAAGAAGGUUUUCGGAUCGUAAAGCUCUUUCGUUAGGGACGAACGUGCUCUUUGUGAAUAAUGAGGAGUAAUGACGGUACCUAAAUAAGAAGCCACGGCUAACUACGUGCCAGCAGCCGCGGUAAUACGUAGGUGGCAAGCGUUGUCCGGAAUUAUUGGGCGUAAAGCGCGCGCAGGCGGGAUAUCAAGUCUGUCUUAAAAGUGCGAGGCUCAACCUCGUGAGGGGACAGAAACUGGUAUUCUUGAGUGUCGGAGAGGAAAGUGGAAUUCCAAGUGUAGCGGUGAAAUGCGUAGAGAUUUGGAAGAACACCAGUGGCGAAGGCGACUUUCUGGACGAUGUCUGACGCUGAGGCGCGAAAGCUAGGGGAGCGAACGGGAUUAGAUACCUCUGUAGUCC
rnacentral:rRNA from 1 species